rnacentral:rRNA from 1 species
GUGAGGAAUAUUGGACAAUGGGCGCAAGCCUGAUCCAGCCAUGCCGCGUGCAGGAAGACGCAUCUAUGGUGUGUAAACUGCUUUUGUACGGGAAGAAACACUCCCUCGUGAGGGAGCUUGACGGUACCGUAAGAAUAAGGAUCGGCUAACUCCGUGCCAGCAGCCGCGGUAAUACGGAGGAUCCAAGCGUUAUCCGGAAUCAUUGGGUUUAAAGGGUCCGUAGGCGGUUUAAUAAGUCAGUGGUGAAAGCCCAUCGCUCAACGAUGGAACGGCCAUUGAUACUGUUAGACUCGAAUUACAAGGAAGUAACUAGAAUAUGUAGUGUAGCGGUGAAAUGCUUAGAUAUUACAUGGAAUACCAAUUGCGAAGGCAGGUUACUACUUGUGGAUUGACGCUGAUGGACGAAAGCGUGGGGAGCGAACAGGAUUAGAAACCCGGGUAGUCC